AGUUUAAGUAAUAAUCAAUCAAUCAAUUUAAGCAAAGAAACAAACUGACCUACAUAAUCUCCCAUGAAGAGAUAAUUAGUAUCAGGCGUAUUGCCUCCUAUCUGGAACAGCUCUAUUAGAUCAUAAAACUGACCGUGAAUAUCUCCA